AAAGCCCAUUUAUUUAUUAAGCCCAAACACAAUCUCUACUAUCUACUCUAUAAAUAUCCCCCAAAACCCCAAAAUUUUCCCCUCAAAAGGCAAAUGGUAAAAGUAAUUUAUUUUCUUUUCUUUUCUAUUUUUCUUUCUUUUCUAUUUUCUUUCUUUUCAUUUUUUCCUAACUCUUUCCUUCUCCUUUACGUGAAACCCAUGAAUGGGAUUCUAAUCCCAUUAACUUGCUGCCCACAUCACCUCACGCUACCCCUCGCCACCUUGCAGCCACCUCACACCAGCCGGCGCCGGUCACCUCCGGCCGCCCAGCCACCGCCGGCGACCCGCGGCCAGCCACCGCAGUGGAGAUUUUAAGUUGAGUAAUUUCUAGCAUUGUGGCUAGUUGGAAAGAUGAUUUAAGGACGUCUAGUCACUUCAUGUGACAAUUGCCUACCCGGUUAGCUCCCGGUGUAGUUUACCUCACUUGUUUAAGGCAGGGAUUUGGUUGGAAACCCGUUCGAUGUGUAAUCAAAAUUAAAUGAAUAUUGUUAAUAGUCUAGUCAAGUGAUGAAUGUUGAGUUCUUGUAAACAGGUGCAUCAAGUAGUGGGGACAAGUAGAGAGAAGCUUUUCAGGUGAUGAAGCAUAAUCAUGAUAGGGCAUGAGUGAAGAGUGAAUCAUGCUUAGUUCUCAUAGGAAUAUGAUUUGUUUAUUGCUUUCAAUUAUUAUUUCUUUACGUUGAUCAUGAGACUAACGCAAGAAGAUUUUUAAGUGUUUUGGAUUUAAGGGCCUACAAUGGUUCCAAGUUGUAGGUUGACUUCGUUUGACUUUUACUUUCGUUUGGUUUGACUUUAAAGUUGACUUGAUUUUAAAUGGUUUUAAA